AUGAACGCUGGCGGCAUGCUUUACACAUGCAAGUCGAACGGUAACAGGGAGCUUGCUCCGCUGACGAGUGGCGAACGGGUGAGUAAUGCGUCGGAACGUGCCGAGUAGUGGGGGAUAACGCAUCGAAAGGUGUGCUAAUACCGCAUACGAACUGAGGUUGAAAGUGGGGGACCUUCGGGCCUCACGCUAUUCGAGCGGCCGACGUCUGAUUAGCUAGUUGGUGAGGUAAAGGCUCACCAAGGCGACGAUCAGUAGCGGGUCUGAGAGGAUGAUCCGCCACACUGGGACUGAGACACGGCCCAGACUCCUACGGGAGGCAGCAGUGGGGAAUUUUGGACAAUGGGCGCAAGCCUGAUCCAGCCAUGCCGCGUGUCUGAAGAAGGCCUUCGGGUUGUAAAGGACUUUUGUCCGGGAGCAAAUGCCUGGUGUUAAUAGCAUCGGGAGCUGAGAGUACCGGAAGAAUAAGCACCGGCUAACUACGUGCCAGCAGCCGCGGUAAUACGUAGGGUGCAAGCGUUAAUCGGAAUUACUGGGCGUAAAGCGUGCGCAGGCGGUUUUGUAAGCCAGAUGUGAAAGCCCCGGGCUCAACCUGGGAACUGCGUUUGGAACUACAAGACUAGAGUGUGUCAGAGGGGGGUGGAAUUCCGCGUGUAGCGUGA
rnacentral:rRNA from 1 species